rnacentral:rRNA from 1 species
CAUUACAGAAGGAUAUCGCCCUCGGGCUUCUCUUCUCACCCUUUGUUUACCACACGUAGUUGCCUUGGCGCUCCGCGCCAGUGGAUCGAAACUCCUGAAUCAUUGCCGUCUGAGUACUAUUCAAUAGUUAAAACUUUCAACAACGGAUCUCUUGGUUCUGGCAUCGAUGAAGAACGCAGCGAAAUGCGAUAAGUAAUGUGAAUUGCAGAAUUCAGUGAAUCAUCGAAUCUUUGAACGCACAUUGCGCCCUCCGGUAUUCCGGGGGGCAUGCCUGUUCGAGCGUCAUUACAACCCUCAAGCUCUGCUUGGUGUUGAGCCCGCCCCGGCCUGCCCGGGGCUCGCUUCAAAGUCAGUGGCGGCCGCCGUCCGACCUUCAGCGCAGUAAUGCUCGCCGCUGUUAGGGAAGGGCAGCAAGGGCCGUCAUACAACCCCCACACACAAGGUUGACCUCGGAUCAGGUAGGGAUACCCGCUGAACUUAAGCAUAUCAAUAAGCGGAGGAAAAGAAACCAACAGGGAUUGCCUCAGUAACGGCGAGUGAAGCGGCAACAGCUCAAAUUUGAAAGCUGGCUCCUUCGGGGCCCGCGUUGUAAUUUGUAGAGGAUGCUUCGGGCGCGGCACCGGUCUAAGUUCUCUGGAACGAGACGUCAUAGAGGGUGAGAAUCCCGUAUGUGACUGGCUGCCUGUGCCCAUGUGAAGCUCCUUCGACGAGUCGAGUUGUUUGGGAAUGCAGCUCAAAAUGGGAGGUGUACUCCUUCUAAAGCUAAAUAUUGGCCAGAGACCGAUAGCGCACAAGUAGAGUGAUCGAAAGAUGAAAAGCACUUUGGAAAGAGAGUUAAACAGUACGUGAAAUUGUUGAAAGGGAAGCGCUUGCAAUCAGACUUGCGCGGCGUCGAUCAGCCUGGGUUCUCCCUGGUGCACUCGGCGCCGCUCAGGCCAGCAUCAGUUUCGGCGGUGGGAUAAAGGCCUAGGGA